rnacentral:tRNA from 1 species
GUGGGUAUAACUCAAUGGGAGAGUCCGUGUUUAGUACGCAUGAGGGUCCUGGGUUCAAUUCCCAGUACCUCCA